GGGUAGUGCAGGCCUCGAAAUAUUAGAGAGAUUGAUGAUCAGGGGUGGAAUCAUGCCCUGAUCAAAGACUCAGAGAUCGCCGCCUUCCUGAUUCCUAAGUUUUGAAGCGGCUCUAUCAGGUCUGCCUCCUCUCCAGGCUCUACAGAGGUGCCCGUGACUAUUCUAGUGGUGGUAGUGGCUAUAAAGCAUGAUUUGGUGGUGACGCUGCUGAAGAAGGCAUGGGGA
rnacentral:lncRNA from 1 species